ensembl:lncRNA
GAUGAGCUGGUUCUGAUUGCCCAGUUCUGAUUGCAUCUCUCUGCCAGGUCCCAGCUGAGGUUGCUGGUGGGGGUGAUGGCAGCUCACCGGCAGCUCUUCCCUACUCCAGGUAAUGGGGGCUCUGAGCAGUGUCCAUCCCAGAGCUGCUACCCCACAGCCUGCACGGAUCCCUGCUCUCCCAGGGAGACUGCCAGGGCUGAACUUGGCCUCUGAUGGUCCCAGUUGUCUCUGCUCUGUUUCAGGCCUGCUGCUCUGUGUCUUGGCUCUGCAAUUCUGCACCCAGGGCCCUCUUGCCAUAGCAGGUGAGUGCACAGCAGAGGAUCCUCUUGGGAAUGGGGCAAAGGCAACUUGGUGUGAUGGGACAACAUCCCUGUCCCCUCUUGGCUGUAAGCUAUUGGACAGAGCUGUGCUCAGGAAAUCUUCUUGAGGUUUUGACCCCAGAAAUGGCUGUAUCUCCUAUGCAAUGUGCCUCGAAGGGGAAGGGAGAAGCUGCUGUAACGUUUCCAUAGUCAGCGAUUAUCUCUGACCCGCUGGGCAGGCUCCUCCCUGCUGGCUGCAAGCAGAUCUUUGUUCUUGUUUGGGAUGGGGGACCACAUGGAUGCUAUUUCCUUCACCAAGGGGGAACUUUGUGUUUUUUUUAGGGCGCAAAGUGGUCAACAUGUCCAUAGUCACCACCCAUGCCUCGGUGGCUGCCACCAGUGCCUCAAUGUCCACAACCAACCAGGCAUCCAUGGCCACCAACCAGACCUCAGUGGCCACCAGUCAGACCUCAGUGACCACCUACGACCAGGCACUGGUGGCCACCAACCAGACCUCAGUGGCCACCUCCAACCAGGCAUCAGUAGCCACCAAUCAGGCCUCAGUGUCUGCCACCAGUGCCUCAGUAGCCACCUCCAAUCAGGCAUGGGUGGCCACCAACCAGACCUCAGUGGCUACCGCCAGUGCCUCAAUGGCUGCCUCCAACCACACCUCAGUGACCGCCACCACCACUUGGGUGUCCAUCAGCCAGGCUUCAGUGGCUGCCAACGCCUCCAUGAACCAUACAGAACAAACCCCGGUAAGGAGAGGGAAGGGGGAUGCUGGCCAUGCAGAAGCUCUGCUGCGCUGUGACCCCCUGGCAUGUCCUCCCCCCAGCUCAGCUGUCAAAGCUUCCAGUGCUCCGGGGAGAGGUGUUACCAGGAUGAGGCCCACAGCAACAUGACGACCACCUGCUACAAUGAGACCUUCUGCGAGGUAUGGAGCUUAGAGCGGCUGCUGGAGGCUGUGAGCACAACACCUGAUUUUCCUUCGCCACUCUCCCACUCUGUCCAUUAUUUUUGCUCUUCUGUAAUGGCCUCUCUUCGCACUUCUAGUGGGUUUCUUUUUUUUCCUUUGGCUCUGCUGUUGCAGCUUUAUCGUUUCUCCAGCAUGAACUACACCGCCAGAUGCAGCAGUGUGUGCAGUGCAGAGCUGUGCAGGACCAAUGGCAGCGUGACCCUACAGCAGUGCACCAUGGAAUGCUGCAACACCUCCCUCUGCCUGCAGCUCAAUGCAAGCUCCUAUGGUGAUCUUCCCCCCACCACCGUGCUGCCCACGACCACCAUCACCACCACCACCACCCCACGCCCCCCCCCACGAAAUGGGAAAAUCUGUGCAGCAUUCUCCUGCCAUGGGGAUGGAUGUUUCAAAGGCAAGAAGAGCACAGCUAGAUGCUUUGUUGGGCAUGAUUUCUGCGAGAUGAAGAAGACGGGCUUCAAUUAUGUGGCAGGAUGCAGCAAAGCCUGCAAGGCUGCCAAGCCUGUCUGUGCCCGGGGGGUGAAGGCUGCCUGUUUCCAGGAGUGCUGCCCCGCCACCCCCAAGGGCAGCUGCUUAAAGCUGGAUGGCAAAGUUCAUGUGAAUGGUGCUGGGCAGGUGGCUGUGUCCUCGCUGCUGCAGCUCCUGGCAUGUGGGGCAGCCCUCCUCUUGAGCCGAAGGGCCUCCACUCCCCUCCAUGGGUAAGCAGCAGCCCUGCAGCCUUUCCCCUCCUUGAUUUCAGCUGAGGUCGCUAUCAAACACCCUCUGUUGCAUCCCCAUGCCAGGAGCGAGGUGCCCUGGAACUCAUAGAUGGUGAUUUCUCCCUCCAUGCAGGUGAUCCCCACUACACAUCGAGCCUCUGUGCUGCAGGGAUGGCAGAUGCUGGAAGGAGAGACCUCAGGUGUAGGAGCGAGAGGAUGCUGAGCCAGCUCGGAACCCAGGAACCUCUGCCUUGACCCAAGGCACAGCUUACACAGUGUAGUUACAACGUGUUUGCACCGCAACUGUCUGAACACCCACUUAGUUUCUAAAUGAUACGUCCUGUCCCAGUAGGCUGUACUGUUUUGUCUCCAGGUCUUAGACAGGGCAAUGGGGCUGAGCUAAAAGCAUCGUGUUAGACCGUCCUGUUUCGUAUCUAUGAUUCUCUAUGGGUAAAUGUAGAGCAGAGACACGAGCGUGAGUCUGUAACAGGAGCUGGCUCCCAGCCAGACAGCUGGCAAUGGCUCUGUGGUGCCACUGUGCAAACACAUUCUGUCCUCUUCCUGCUCUCUUUUAAGAAAAUAAAAUAUAAUGACAAUAAUAGAGAAGCUUCAGUCCCUUGGGUUGAUGUCGGGCUGCUUUGGGCACAGCUCAGCUCCAGGGAUGUGGUGGGAAGGGGAUCCCAGCUGUAGGGCUGUGCUGGGACAGCAGCAGGAUGGCUUUGCUGGGAGCUCUGCACAGUGGAUGUGGGGCUGAGGCCAGGCAGUGUGCAGCCAUCAUUGGCCCUUCCACGCUGCAGUGCUGCUGCACCAAAGCCAUGGCACGGGCUGGGGGGUGUUGCCCCAUCAGUCUAUCGGCAGAAAGUGACAACGGGAUGGAACUCAAAGAUGUUUCUGUUUCAG